GACGAACGCUGGCGGCGUGCUUAACACAUGCAAGUCGAACGAAGUGGCGAACGGGUGAGUAACGCGUAAUCAACCUGCCCUUCAGAGGGGGACAACAGUUGGAAACGACUGCUAAUACCGCAUACUGAAGGAGGGGAUUGCGUCUGAUUAGCUAGUUGGAGGGGUAACGGCCCACCAAGGCGAUGAUCAGUAGCCGGUCUGAGAGGAUGAAUGGCCCCAUUGGGACUGGGACACGGCCCAGACUCCUACGGGGGGCAGCAGUGGGGAAUGUUCCGCAAUGGACGAAAGUCUGACGAAGCAACGCCACAUGAUGGAUGACGGCCUUGGGGUUGUAAAGCUCUGUUAUGCGGGACGCGGUACCGGAAUAGAAAGCACCGGCUAACUACGUGCCAGCAGCCGCGGUAAUAC
rnacentral:rRNA from 1 species